GAUGAACGCUGGCGGCGUGCCUAAUACAUGCAAGUCGAGCGAACGGACGAGAAGCUUGCUUCUCUGAUGUUAGCGGCGGACGGGUGAGUAACACGUGGAUAACCUACCUAUAAGAAUGGGAUAACUUCGGGAAACCGGAGCUAAUACCGGAUGAUAUUUUGAACCGCAUGGUUCAAAAGUGAAAGACGGUCUUGCUGUCACUUAUAGAUGGAUCCGCGCUGCAUUAGCUAGUUGUUAAGGUAACGGCUUACCAAGGCAACUAUGCAUAGCCGACCUGAGAGGGUGAUCGGCCACACUGGAACUUAUACACGCUCCAGACUCCUACGGGACGCAGCAGUAGGGAAUCUUCCGCAAUGGGCGAAAGCCUGACGGAGCAACGCCGCGUGAGUGAUGACGGUCUUCGGAUCGUAAAACUCUGUUAUUAGGGAAGAACAUAUGUGUAAGUAACUGUGCACAUCUUGACGGUACCUAAUCAGAAAGCCACGGCUAACUACGUG
rnacentral:rRNA from 1 species